AGCUCCAAUAGCAUAUAUUAAAGUUGUUGCGGUUAAAAAGCUCGUAGUUGGAUCUCGACGUAUGGGCCGUCGCCCCGCCUCGGCGGGCUCACGACGCUCUUUUGCUCUGUACGUCUUCGCAUCGGCCCCGGCCGCGUGUGCCCUUCACCGGGCGCCCGGCUGUCGAGGGGCCGACACGUUUACUUUGAAUAACUCAAAGUGCUCAAAGCGGGCGACUCGUCGCACUCGCAUGUUCAUGCAUGGAAUAAUGGAAAAGGUCUUCGGAUCUGUUCUGCUGGUCUUCGGACUCCGAGGAAAUGAUUAAGAGGGACUGCCGGGGGCAUUCGUAUGGCUCGGAUAGAGGUGAAAUUCUUUGACCCUUGCCAGACGGCCGAAAGCGAAAGCAUUUGCCAAGAAUGUUUUCU
rnacentral:rRNA from 1 species